rnacentral:misc_RNA from 1 species
GAUGAAGAACGUAGCGAAAUGCGAUACUUGGUGUGAAUUGCAGAAUCCCGUGAACCAUCGAGUCUUUGAACGCAAGUUGCGCCCGAAGCCAUUAGGCCGAGGGCACGCCUGCCUGGGCGUCACACGUCGUUGCCCCCCCAUCUAAUCCUUCGGGAUUGCGGGGGGCGGAUGAUGGCCUCCCGUGCGCCUCGUCGCGCGGUUGGCAUAAAUGCCAAGUCCUCGGCGACGCACGCCACGACAAUCGGUGGUUGCGAAACCUCGGUUGCCCGUCGUGUGCGGUCGUCGCGCAUCGAGGGCUCGAAAAAAUUGCCGGGCUCCGGCUCGGCUUUCAACGCGACCCCAGGUCAGGCGGGGUUACCCGCUGAAUUUAAGCAUAUCAAUAAGCGGAGGA